UCCCCCAGUAGUGGCGAGCGACCGGGGAAGAGCCCAAACCGUCGGCGUUUCGGCGCCGUCGGGGUAGUAGGGCCGCAAUGUCGCACAAGCACCGUUAAGCGGAACGGACUGGAACGUCCGGCCAUAGCGGGUGAAAGCCCCUUACGCGCCGUCGGUGCUGGCGUAGCGGUUCCCUGAGUAGCGCGGGGCACGAGAAACCCUGUGCGAAUCCGCCGGGACCAUCCGGCAAGGCUAAAUACUCCCUUGAGACCGAUAGUGAACAAGUACCGUGAGGGAAAGGUGGGAAGCACCCCGUCGAGGGGAGUGAAACAGACCCUGAAACCAUGCGCCUACAAGCGGUCGGAGCACGCAUGUGCGUGUGACGGCGUGCCUUUUGCAUAAUGAACCUACGAGUUGCCGUCGCCGGCGAGGUUAACCGUGAAGACGCGGGGAGCCGCAGUGAGAGCGAGCCUGAAGAGGGCGCAUAGUCGGCGGUGGCAGACGCGAAACCAAGUGAUCUACACUUGGCCAGGGUGAAGUCCCGGUAACGCGGGAUGGAGGCCCGAACCGAUAAGCGUUGAAAAGCUUCCGGAUGAGCCGAGUGUAGGAGUGAAAGGCCAAUCAAACUUGGAGAUAGCUCGUACUCCCCGAAAGGCAUUUAGGUGCCGCGUGGGGUGUUCCGGGCGCGAGGUAGAGCGACCGAUAGGACGCGAGGGCUUCACCGCCUGUCAAGUCCUGACGAACUCCGAAUGCGCGUCCGCAGGAGCCCUGCAGUAAGGGGGCGGGUGCUAAGGUCCGCCCCCGAGAGGAGAAGAAUCCAGACCGCCGUCUAAGGCCCCGGAAUUCUGCCUGAGUUAGUCUAACGAAGUGUGCCCCCUGGGACAGCCAGGAUGUUGGCUUGGAAGCAGCCAUUCAUUCAAAGAGUGCGUAACAGCUCACUGGUCGAGGGGGCUCGCGUGGAUAAUAAUCGGGUAUAAGGCAGAUGCCGAAGGCGCGGGAUAUCGAAAGAACGUAUCGGUAGGGGAGCAUUCCAGGUGCGCAGAAUGCAUGGGGUGACCCAUGCUGGAGCGCUGAGAAAGGCAAAUGUAGGUAUGAGUAACGACAAGGGGGGCGCGAACCCCCCCCGCCGCAAGGCCAAGGUUUCCCGGGCGAUGCCAGUCAUCCCGGGGUAAGUCGGGCCCUAAGCCUAAGCCGAAUGGCGAUGGCGAUGGCAGACACGGUUGAUAUUCCGUGACUGCCCGUGCGGGCGAUGCGGCAACGGAGAAGUGACACCGCCGCGCGCAGACGGAACUGCGCGUUGAAGGGUGUAGGCGUGGAGGGGCGCAGUCAAGCACACGCCCCGAGCCGAACCUGAGAGUACGGCGCUCCAUUCGUGGAGGGCCGAGAGUGCGGGUAAUCCAGCUCCCAAGAAACCCCGCUAAGCUUAACCGCACGGGCACCCGUACCGCAAACGGACACACGUGGCCGGGUAGAGCAUACCAAGGCGUUGAGAGACUCAUGGUCAAGGAACUAGGCAAACCAGCCCCGUAACUUCGGGAGAAGGGGUCCUCCCCCUGUGGGAGGCGCAGCGAACAGGCCCAGGCAACUGUUUACCAAAAACACAGGGCUGUGCAAACUCGAGAGAUGAAGUAUACAGCCUGACACCUGCCCGGUGCCGGAAGGUUAAGAGGAGGCGUCACCGCAAGGGAAGCGCCGAGUUGAAGCCCCGGUAAACGGCGGCCGUAACUAUAACGGUCCUAAGGUAGCGAAAUUCCUUGUCGGGUAAGUUCCGACCUGCACGAAUGGUGUAAUGAUCCGGGCGCUGUCUCGACCAUGAUCUCAGUGAAAUUGUAGUAUCGGUGAAGAUGCCGAUUACCCGCGAUGGGACGAAAAGACCCCGUGAACCUUUACUGCAGCUUAGCGCUGACCUUGGCCAUCGGAUGUGUAGGAUAGGCCGGAGGCAAUGAAGGCGCCACGCCAGUGGUGCCGGAGCCGCCGUUGAAAUACGGCCCUUCCGCUGUCCGGGGUCUAACGCGCGAUGCGCGGACACCGCUUGGCGGGCAGUUUGACUGGGGUGGUCGCCUCCAAAAGCGUAACGGAGGCUUCCAAAGGUGCCCUCAGGCCGAUUGGCAACCGGCCUAAAUGAGUGCAAUGGCAGAAGGGCGCUUGACUGGGAGGGGGACACCCCGAGCAGGCAGGAAACUGGGGCAUAGUGAUCCGGCGGUUCCGCAUGGAAGGGCCGUCGCUCAAAGGAUAAAAGGUACUCC
rnacentral:rRNA from 1 species